UGACAAGCAUCAAGAACCUUGAGAUUUGUU
rnacentral:piRNA from 1 species